rnacentral:tRNA from 1 species
GGUAGUGCAGUGCUUAAGCAUUUGACUGUGAACCAAAAGGUUGGUGGUUCGAACCCAUCCGCUGCUC